GGGGCUUUUUCAGAGGUGGCUGGAUCUAGAUUGUGUGAUGCUGGUAUUCAUUCAUGCUGCAAUGCUAGGAUUAAAGGUGAGAGUGCUACCUUCCUAAGUAGUCUGGAUAAGGAAAAGGGGCAGAAAGAUACUGUUAAGGUCCCUUGACGCUUUUGUUGUCUUUGUCUACAAUUAAUUGUUUUUCUCUGUUGCAGUGCCCCUCUGCCACGUGCCACUCUGCCUUAGGGCCAGCCAACUAUGGACUGAAACCCCUGUAAAGUGUGAGCUAAGGAAACCUUUCCCCCUUUAACUUUGGGUGUUGGGUAUUUUGUCACAGCAACAAGAGAAAAGUGACUACCACAGAUGACAAUGGUGUAGCUUGAGUUGGAGGAGUGGGUUACCUCAGCUCCCUGCCCCAGGACCAAGAAGGAGAAAAGACAGAAGACACUAUUGACUGAACACAUCUUGCCCAGGGCAGGACCAGGGAGAACCUCUGGCUGCAGGCAUCCUUGCCAGUGUCUCCUUGGUUUUGUCCUGUGAAAAGGCAUAAUAGUACCAGACUGAUUUCUGCGCCCAGGCAGGAACACUCAAUGAAUCAAUGCUGAUGACCGCUGCCACAAUUGUCAUGUUGUGCAGCUCUAAAACGUAUAGACCAGGAGGGAACAAGACCUGUGGCUUCAUGGAACACACACGUGAACAAAAUAGCCCACCUACUCCUCAGUCCUGCUUCUGGUAUGUGCAAUGCCUCCAACCUCCAAGACAUUCCAGCAUUCUCUACUCAAGAGACUUGCUUGAUGUGGGUGGGAUCCUUUCACAGGAGAAAGCUGACAGGAUGUCCUUCCAUGGGUGGCCCAGUAUGGGAAUUGUGGACGAGUACAAAGUUUUAAAAAAUGCCUGUCAAGAUGCAUUAAAUUGA
rnacentral:lncRNA from 1 species